rnacentral:rRNA from 1 species
GAUGAACGCUGGCGGCGUGCCUAAUACAUGCCAGUCGAGCGAACAGACGAGGAGCUUGCUCCUCUGACGUUAGCGGCGGACGGGUGAGUAACACGUGGAUAACCUACCUAUAAGACUGGGAUAACUUCGGGAAACCGGAGCUAAUACCGGAUAAUAUAUUGAACCGCAUGGUUCAAUAGUGAAAGACGGUUUUGCUGUCACUUAUAGAUGGAUCCGCGCCGCAUUAGCUAGUUGGUAAGGUAACGGCUUACCAAGGCAACGAUGCGUAGCCGACCUGAGAGGGUGAUCGGCCACACUGGAACUGAGACACGGUCCAGACUCCUACGGGAGGCAGCAGUAGGGAAUCUUCCGCAAUGGGCGAAAGCCUGACGGAGCAACGCCGCGUGAGUGAUGAAGGUCUUCGGAUCGUAAAACUCUGUUAUUAGGGAAGAAAAAAUGUGUAAGUAACUAUGCACGUCUUGACGGUACCUAAUCAGAAAGCCACGGCUAACUACGUG